UACGAAGGGUGCAAGCGUUAAUCGGAAUUACUGGGCGUAAAGCGCGCGUAGGUGGCCAAUUAAGUCAAAUGUGAAAUCCCCGAGCUUAACUUGGGAAUUGCAUUCGAUACUGGUUGGCUAGAGUAUGGGAGAGGAUGGUAGAAUUCCAGGUGUAGCGGUGAAAUGCGUAGAGAUCUGGAGGAAUACCGAUGGCGAAGGCAGCCAUCUGGCCUAAUACUGACACUGAGGUGCGAAAGCAUGGGGAGCAAACAGG
rnacentral:rRNA from 1 species